GCCUGGUGUGUUAUAGAUAGUGCGUUAUAGGUCAGUGUUACUCUCAUUGACAAGGUGAAUACCUGUUGUUCAGUGUCAUUAAGGAUCAAAACCAGUUAUUGGAGCAUUGGUGCUAAUUCACGUGUGACCAACAAGAAGACGACUGAGAAGAACCAAACCUCAGAGAUCUACUGUACAUGCUGACUGGGGAGGAACAAAUGGAGUUUGAUGAAGUUGCAGUUUAUUUCUCAGAGGAGGAGUGGGGCUGUUUAGCUGAAGAACAAAAAGAGCUUUAUAAGGAUGUGAUGAUGGAGAAUUACCAGACCCUCAGGUCUCUAGGUAAUAAUUUAUAUAACCCU